AUUGAACGCUGGCGGCAGGCCUAACACAUGCAAGUCGAACGAGUGGCGGACGGGUGAGUAAUGUAUCUGAACGUGCCUGGUGGAGGGGGAUCACUACUGGAAACUGUUGCUAAUACCGCAUACAAUUGGAUCGGUCGAUAUGGGAUUAGCUAGUGGGUGGGGUAAAGGCUCACCAAGGCGACGAUCCGUAGCUGGUGUGAGAGGAUGACCAGCCACACUGGAACUGAGACACGGUCCAGACUCCUACGGGAGGCAGCAGUGGGGAAUAUUGGACAAUGGGCGAAAGCCUGAUCCAGCCAUGCCGCGUGUAUGAAGAAGGCCUUCGGGUUGUAAAGUACUUUAAGCAGGGAGGCGUUACCUGCAGAAUAAGCACCGGCUAACUACGUGCCAGCAGCCGCGGUAAUAC
rnacentral:rRNA from 1 species